rnacentral:rRNA from 1 species
ACUCCGAAACUGCAUUCGAUACUGCCGUGCUUGAGGACUGGAAAGGAGACUGGAAUUUACGGUGUAGCGGUGAAAUGCGCAGAUAUCGUAAGGAAGACCAGUGGCGAAGGCGGGUCUCUGGACAGUUCCUGACGCUGAGGCACGAAGGCCAGGGGAGCAAACGGGAUUAGAUACCCCGGUAGUCCUGGCAAUAAACGGUGCGCGUUUGGUGUGGGAGGAUUCGACCCCUUCUGCGCCGGAGCUAACGCGUUAAACGUGCCGCCUGGGGAGUACGGUCGCAAGAUUAAAACUCAAAGAAAUUGACGGGGGCCCGCACAAGCGGUGGAGUAUGUGGCUCAAUUCGAUGCAACGCGAAGAACCUUACCAGGCCUUGACAUGCAUUGCUAAGUUGGUGAAAGCCAGCGACUGGAG